UUGAAAUCAUCUUCAUCAACCUCUUCAUGAUUUCCAUCCAAAUCCUUGAUAAGCCCUGUUAUUAAUUCAAAUAAUGCCUCAACCUUGUCGGCAGUAGAAAUUCGUGUGUUGUUUUUCAUAAUACUUUGAAUUAUGACAGUUGCCAUGAUUUUAUUCGUUUCAUUGUCAAGGUAUUCCAUGACAUGGUGGUAGUUUGAAAGCUUCAAUGCAGUGACAACAUCAUUAUAUUUCUCCAAUGGAGCACUUAAAAGUGCUACAAUUUGUUUCGUGGCUCUGCUGUCUUCAAGCUUUCCUUUGCUUGAUAAUUUCUU
rnacentral:misc_RNA from 1 species